AUGGCUUUUCCAGGGAUCAAAAAAUGGCUUUUCCAGGGAUUUUCCCCAGAAUCCUUUUUCCGGGAUCCCAUUCCAGCCUCACCUCUUCCUUCUUUUUCUUUGGUUUGCUCUCCUCCCCUUUGUCCUCCGUGUCGGACUCGGCCUUGCGCUUGCUGCCCUCGGAUUUCUCGCUCUCGUGGGCGGUUUUCUGGGAUUGCAGGAAUUCCGCGAUCAGGUCCGGGCAGUCCAGGUUCUCCUCGGGCUCCCAGGUGUUGUCCUCGCUGCCGGCAAACACAAAUUCCCUGUUUUUCCCAGUUUUCCCAGCCCAGAAAAUCCCGGAUGUGGCAUCACCGGGACGCUGGGGAGGCGGAAUUUGGGAUGGUUGGACAGAUCCAGGUGGGAAUGCUGGAUCCAAUUCCCAGAUCCCGACAAUCCCCCUUGCUGGAUCACGGAUCCUCUGGGAUAUUCAUCCAGCUCUUCAUCCCAGAGUUUUUCUCAGCUCCCACAACAAAAAUUCCUGAAAAUCCAUCCAGUGCUGGCUGGGAAAACUCUGGAUUCAGAGCUGGGGAAAUCCUGGAGGAAAGGGAGGAAAUUCCCUUCUCAGGAUCCCACACUGGGAUUGAGGGGGGGAAAUCCCUCCAGGAUCCCUUUCCAGGUCAGAAUGGGAUUUCCCACCCUGGAACUCUGGGAUUUCCCAGGAUCUUCUCUCCCUGCCCUGCUGGAGUUCCUUGGGAACACUGGGGUUUUCCCUGGGAUGGAAAAUCCUUGGGAACAGUGGGAUUUUCCAGGAUUUGUUCUCCCUGCUCUCCCUGGGAUGGGAAAUCCUUUGAAAAGCAUGAUUUUUGUGGCAAUACCAGGAUUUCCCUGGGAACAUCGGGAUUUCCCCGGGAACACCGGGAUUUCCUUGGGAACACCAGGAUUUCCUUGGGAACACCGGGAUUUCCUUGGGAACACCGGGAUUUCCCCCUGUCCUGCCCCUCUCCCUGGCAGGACGGACCCCCAGGACCCCCCCAGCUCCCAUUUUUCCCAGGAAAGCGGCGGAUCCCGGCGGGAAUGACUCACUCGGAGAAUCCCUUCCACUUGAGCAGAUAUUCCACCUUUCCCUUCACCACGCGCCGAUCCAGGACCUUUUCCACCACGUAUUCCUCCUCCUCCUCCUCCAGCACCUCUUCCACCUUCUUCUUGUUCUGCUUUUUUCCCAUUGUGCUGGCCAGCUUCUCCGCUUUCCCGGGCUGCUGCAGGCGGGAAAAUCCCGGAUUUGGGGAUUUUGGGAUGCCGGGAAUGCGGGGAUGCACAGUUUGGGAUGUUUGGCCUGGUCCAGGUGGGGUUGUGUUCCCUUCUCGGGGAGAAUUCCUUGGAUCCCACACUGGGAUUGAGAGGGGAAAUCCCUCCAGGAUCUGUUUCCAGGUAGGAAUGGGAUUUCCCACCCUGGCACAGUCGGAUUUUCUGGGAUUUUCUCUCCCUGCCCUGCUGGAGCUCCUUGGGAACACUGGGAUAUUCCCACCAAAAACAGGAAAAAGGGCUGGGAUCAGGGCAGGAAUCCAGGUGAGAAUUUCCUGGGAAUUCCUGGAGCAAUCACAGGAUUUUGACACAAAGAUUUGGAUUUUUGCCUUCCCCACUCUUUAA
rnacentral:lncRNA from 1 species